UGCAAGUACGGUACGGUAU
rnacentral:misc_RNA from 1 species